rfam:Pteropus alecto contig98154, whole genome shotgun sequence.
GUCUACGGUCAUGCCAUCCUGAACACUCCCGAUCCCAUCUGAUCUUGGAAGCUAAGCAGGGUUGGGCCUGGUUAGUAUUUGGAUGGGAGACCACCUAAGAAUACCAGGUGCUGUAGAAG